CAACUUUAAGGGCAUAAACUUGGGAAGUCCUCUUAUGACGUACUUUAUAGACUGUACCACCAUUUCCAUGGCCUAAAACUUGGAGCUUUUCGAGAUCGUUACAAGAAAUCAUAGCGGAGGCAGCGGUCGUGGUGUUGUUGGUAGAAGUGGUGACACUGGGAGGAAAUGGCAAGGGGAAGCGAGGACGGCGCUCGGAGGAUUCAGGAAUAGGGAGGCGGAGGUUGAGCUGGCGGCGUUCACGGACGACGGCCAUGGGCUUGGGCUGGGGGAGGAGGAGGAGGAGAAGGAGGAGGCGGAGGACAGACGAAAAAAGAGAAAUGGUAUUCUGUAAAGCCGGAGACGUAGGAUUCUAUAUACGUG
rnacentral:misc_RNA from 1 species